CCGUAGAUGUCUUCCUUUUGUCCCGGUAAAGCCUGUUUUUUCACGCAGCACCCACGUGUUUGCUUCAAUGUAACAAGUCUGUGUGCAAACAAAUCUAUUAUAGUAACUAAUCUCACGUCUUCCUUUUUUGUUGUUACAACUGAGAUGAUUUCAUUCUUCUCGUAGACAUCUUCACCACCUCCGUCCACAUUGUCAGACGCAACACCGUAUCCCUCCGCACGAAACUGAGGGCCUCAAUGCCAGCGGUGUCCGAUUUCAAACGCCUUCGAGAUACUGGGUGUUUUUAAAGAGGGAAAAACGCAGCGUUACCGUCUUCCGAUGGCUAAAAUUGUGGAAAUACCUAUUCCCGAGGCACAGUGUCUCGAAAUGUUUUUGUGGUCUUCAAGAUGCAGGAGCGCGGCGAGCACUAUGUCGUCAAGCGGAAGGCUAUCCUAAGAAAGUUACCUGCGAUUACACAGCAGCAGCUUGACGAGA